rnacentral:rRNA from 1 species
CACCGGCGGCUCAAGUGGUGGCCGCUAUUAUUGGGCUUAAAGGGUCCGUAGCCGGACCAGUAAGUCCCUUGGGAAAUCUUACGGCUUAACCGUAAGGCUGCCAAUGGAUACUGUUGGUCUUGGGACCGGGAGAGGCAAGAGGUACCUCAGGGGUAGGAGUGAAAUCCUGUAAUCCUUGAGGGACCGCCAGUGGCGAAGGCGUCUUGCUAGAACGGGUCCGACGGUGAGGGACGAAAGCUAGGGGC